rnacentral:rRNA from 1 species
AUGAUGGCCGAGAUCCUGUCCGGAAGGUUGUAUAUCGAUUCCUGCAGCACCCGGAGUGUGGCCAAUGCAGACAGCACCUUGCCCGACUCCAAUGGUAUCCCCAUGAGGACGCAUGCUCCGAAGGUGACCACGGCGAUGAAUGUAGGGGCACUCCAGAAGAUGAAGGUGAUCAUGGUCGAGGUGUACAGGUACUUCUUGAGCCAGUUUGUUUCUGUCUUCCUGAGGGCGAUGAUCUUGGACAAGAACUUCAUCUCCCACCCCUGCAGCUUGAGAAUCCUCAUGUUGCGUAGGAUCUCGGACGUCGCCUUCAUCCGAACGUCCUUGCUCCUCAUCAGAUUCUGCUGGAGUUUCUCCUGGACUUUCACCGAAGGAACGUUGACAAGCAUGACGGCCGCGGUGGCGCCGAGCGCGGCGAGCGAGGCAAGCCCGAGAGUGGAGUAG